GAGGGUAUAGCUCUAGUGGUAGAAGGCAUGCUUAGCAAGCACAAGGUCCUGAGUUCAAUCCCCAGUACCUCCU
rnacentral:tRNA from 1 species